AGGUUUCCGUAGGUGAACCUGCGGAAGGAUCAUUAUCGUACAACAUGUGUGAGGCGUGCGAGGGCUGUCGCUGACUUCAAAGUCGUGCACGCCGGAGCGCGUCCUCUCACAUUAAAAUCCAUCUCACCCUUUUGUGCACCACCGCGUGGGCACCCUUUGGGAUCGAAUCGAUCCAGGAGGGGGCUUGCGUUUUCACACAAACCCCUUUUAAAAAGUGUAGAAUGACCCCACUUUGCGAUGACACGCAAUCAAUACAACUUUCAACAACGGAUCUCUUGGCUCUCGCAUCGAUGAAGAACGCAGCGAAAUGCGAUACGUAAUGUGAAUUGCAGAAUUCAGUGAAUCAUCGAAUCUUUGAACGCACCUUGCGCCCCUUGGUAUUCCGAGGGGCACACCCGUUUGAGUGUCGUGAAAAUCUCAACCUUCUCGGUUUUCUUCUGGACGCCGAAGGAGGCUUGGACUUUGGAGGCCUUUGCUGGCAUCUCUCUCUUUUCGAGAGCCAGCUCCUCUUAAAUGAAUUAGCGGGGUCCUCUUUGCCGAUCCUCGACAUGUGAUAAGAUGUUUCCAUGACUUGGUUUCUGGCUGCUGUUGCCUUUGGGACCCGCUUCUAACC
rnacentral:rRNA from 1 species